GGACAUCACAACAGCUUGGAAGAAAGCUUCCUUUCGUUUUCAGUGGUCCCUUCGUAUUUAUCCUGAACAUAAAGUCAUUAUGAGGGGGUGCAUGUCUCAUCUAUUUUGUGCAUUCCUUUGUCCCUUCAAGUUAAGUGUUAUUAAAGGCCAUGAACAUCCUUACUCCUGAGUUAAGCCUCCCUGAGCACACUGAGGGCAUCCUGUGAGCCGAGCUGGCUACCUGGCUGAUGGCCAGCCAACGCAGGUGGGUGGGUCCCUGCUGCCAGGUGAGGGGGGAGCUGUUGCUCCCCAGGGGAGGCUCAUCUGAAGACCCUGUCAUUUACCUGUUGUGCAUGGUGCUUCCGGUCAAUACUGGUCAACUUCUCUAGGUCACUUGGACCUUAUCUGCUCAACUGAGACCUGUGUUUUUCUAGCUGGAGGAGUAGGAGCUGCCUGUGGCAGUGAGUUAAGAAGACAGAUUUCCAGGACCUCAUGACAAGGUGGACACAGGUACUCCCCCAGUGACUGUGACAUCAGCAAGGCCCACAUUUUCAACAGUUGCCCCUCUGUUUGGUGGGCCCCCAGGCCCCCCAGGCUGGCUGGCUCCCCGCGACUCCUACUGCCUAAAACUAUCAUCCUGCUGUACUCAGAGUGGCCAGUCUUUCACCAGCCUCGAGUGUCACCUUUCCGUGGGACAUAGGCUUGUGUUCCCCAAAGCGAGGCCCACAUCUCUGCUCUCACUGCAACCUUCCAGUCGGCUCCUGUCGUUCUGCCUGCAGAUGCCAGCUAGUAAACAGUGUUAGUUUCAUUUAGCAGUAAUUGGACUCUGUCCAACCUGAAGUAGGUGCUGGAAUCUGAGCAUUAACACCUGCCCCCGGGGAGCCACAUCCCUUCAGCCAGCAGCAGGAGUAGCGGGCAGGGCACCGUGGAGCCCAGCCGCCCAGGUCUCUCCUGGCUCUACCGCCUUCGCCUCUGGGUUGGCUUUACACAUUCGUGCAGUCGGGAGGAUGGCAAGACCUAACUCACGGGACUGGGCUGAGGCUGAAAUGAGCCAGUACAUGUGAAGUACUUGGAAUCACAGCAUGAUAAGGUCUCAGUAAAUGC
rnacentral:lncRNA from 1 species